rnacentral:rRNA from 1 species
GACUGAAGGGGGCUAGCGUUGUUCGGAAUUACUGGGCGUAAAGCGCGUGUAGGCGGUUGUUCAAGUCAGGUGUGAAAGCCUUGAGCUCAACUCAAGAAAUGCACUUGAUACUGGAUGACUAGAGGACCGGAGAGGAUAGUGGAAUUCCCAGUGUAGUGGUGAAAUACGUAGAGAUUGGGAAGAACACCAGUGGCGAAGGCGGCUAUCUGGACGGUUUCUGACGCUAAGACGCGAAAGCGUGGGGAGCAAACAGG